rnacentral:rRNA from 1 species
UGGGGAAUUUUGGACAAUGGGCGAAAGCCUGAUCCAGCAAUGCCGCGUGUGUGAAGAAGGCCUUCGGGUUGUAAAGCACUUUUGUCCGGAAAGAAAUCCUUGGCUCUAAUACAGUCGGGGGAUGACGGUACCGGAAGAAUAAGCACCGGCUAACUACGUGCCAGCAGCCGCGGUAAUACGUAGGGUGCAAGCGUUAAUCGGAAUUACUGGGCGUAAAGCGUGCGCAGGCGGUUUGCUAAGACCGAUGUGAAAUCCCCGGGCUCAACCUGGGAACUGCAUUGGUGACUGGCAGGCUAGAGUAUGGCAGAGGGGGGUAGAAUUCCACGUGUAGCAGUGAAAUGCGUAGAGAUGUGGAGGAAUACCGAUGGCGAAGGCAGCCCCCUGGGCCAAUACUGACGCUCAUGCACGAAAGCGUGGGGAGCAAACAGGAUUAGAUACCCUGGUAGUCCACGCCCUAAACGAUGUCAACUAGUUGUUGGGGAUUCAUUUCCUUAGUGACGUAGCUAACGCGUGAAGUUGACCGCCUGGGGAGUACGGUCGCAAGAUUAAAACUUAAAUGAAUUGACGGGGUCAUAGCUGUUUCCU